rnacentral:rRNA from 1 species
UGAGUAACACGUGGGCAAUCUGCCCUUCACUCUGGGACAAGCCCUGGAAACGGGGUCUAAUACCGGAUAAUACUGCGGACCGCAUGGUCUGCGGUUGAAAGCUCCGGCGGUGAAGGAUGAGCCCGCGGCCUAUCAGCUUGUUGGUGGGGUGAUGGCCUACCAAGGCGACGACGGGUAGCCGGCCUGAGAGGGCGACCGGCCACACUGGGACUGAGACACGGCCCAGACUCCUACGGGAGGCAGCAGUGGGGAAUAUUGCACAAUGGGCGAAAGCCUGAUGCAGCGACGCCGCGUGAGGGAUGACGGCCUUCGGGUUGUAAACCUCUUUCAGCAGGGAAGAAGCGAAAGUGACGGUACCUGCAGAAGAAGCGCCGGCUAACUACGUGCCAGCAGCCGCGGUAAUACGUAGGGCGCAAGCGUUGUCCGGAAUUAUUGGGCGUAAAGAGCUCGUAGGCGGCUUGUCACGUCGGAUGUGAAAGCCCGGGGCUUAACCCCGGGUCUGCAUUCGAUACGGGCAGGCUAGAGUGUGGUAGGGGAGAUCGGAAUUCCUGGUGUAGCGGUGAAAUGCGCAGAUAUCAGGAGGAACACCGGUGGCGAAGGCGGAUCUCUGGGCCAUUACUGACGCUGAGGAGCGAAAGCGUGGGGAGCGAACAGGAUUAGAUACCCUGGUAGUCCACGCCGUAAACGUUGGGAACUAGGUGUUGGCGACAUUCCACGUCGUCGGUGCCGCAGCUAACGCAUUAAGUUC